UGUUACGAUCUAACGCAUUGACGUAGGGGCUGUCGAUGUGAAUUGUAAUCUUAAGGCGUAGCAGAGUCAUAAAGUCAAUUAAUCAGAAUGUUACAAAUGGAUUGUUAGAAAAGCAACUUAAAGUUUUAAGUAAACGUAGUUUCAUUGAAACACGAUCAUCUUUCAUAAAUGCAAAAUUCAUGUUUCCAAAAAUGUUCAUCACAUUAAUAUUUUGUUCAUUCUCGUUAUAGUCAAUAAUGAGGUUUUGGAGAAUGGACAUUUAAUGUGCAUCAUCCUAAUAUAUACCCUCUCUAGGAAGAGAUUUCUUGACUCUCUGCAUCUUUUACGCGCGUGCAUUAAGAAACAAUUCAGAGAUAACCAGCUUCAUUUUGUACGUUUAAAUUACUCUUAUUCAGAAACGAUACCUUAACACGAAAAUAAUUAUCACUUCAACGAUGAAAAGAUUAAACAAGGAAUAUUGUGACGAAGGUGAAAAUUUCGAAUAACUCAAAUAAAGGAAAAUAUGAGGAAGUUGGAUUAUUAUCGGGAUUUUGGCAUAUAUAUAUAUGUAAAGACUUACACCGAUUCUAAACGCAUCAUAAAUCCUAUUCACGUACACCAUGCUGCUACUAAGCGUAUUUAUUCUUUUCGUUUACCUUACAAUGGUGUCGUCGAGAACGUAUUCCUUGGGACGACCCAACGACCUCAUCAUUAAUGAGAAGCGGCGAUAAAAUAUUAAACAA
rnacentral:lncRNA from 1 species